GACGUAGGGCGCGAGCGUUUGUCCGGAUUUAUUGGGCGUAAAGAGCUCGUAGGCGGUGUGUCACGUCGGCCGUGAAAACCUGCAGCUUAACUGUGGGCGUGCGGUCGAUACGGGCAUCACUGGAGUUCGGCAGGGGAGACUGGAAUUCCUGGUGUAGCGGUGAAAUGCGCAGAUAUCAGGAGGAACACCGGUGGCGAAGGCGGGUCUCUGGGCCGAUACUGACGCUGGAGGAGCGAAAGCCGUUGGGGAGCAAACAGG
rnacentral:rRNA from 1 species